GACAGAGGGUGCAAACGUUGCUCGGAAUUACUGGGCGUAAAGCGCGUGUAGGCGGGCCGACAAGUCAGAUGUGAAAUCCCUGGGCUCAACCCAGGAACUGCAUUUGAAACUGUCGGCCUUGAGUGGUGGAGAGGGAAGCGGAAUUCCUGGUGUAGAGGUGAAAUUCGUAGAUAUCAGGAGGAACACCGGUGGCGAAGGCGACUUCCUGGACACCAAACUGACGCUG
rnacentral:rRNA from 1 species